UGGGAGAUGGUGAAAUGGUAUCACUACUGACUCUGGAUCCGUCGUUCGGGGUUCGAAUCCCUGUCUCCCAGCCU
rnacentral:tRNA from 1 species